GUGCUUGCUUUGGCAGCACAUAUACUAAAAUUGAAACGAUACAGAGAAGAUUAGCAUGACCUCUGUGCAAGGAUGACAUGCAAAUUUGUGAAGUGUUCUAUAUUUUU
rnacentral:snRNA from 1 species